UUAACUCUCAUAGUGCUAUAGUAUAUGAACUAUGAUUAUUUCCAUUAUAUAGAUAAGAACAUAUAGGUAUAAAAAGUUACUUAAAUGUAGAUAUAAAAUUUUCUUAAAUUGUCUAGAAAUUGGAGGAAAUAAGACUGGAAUCCAGAUGUUUUGCCUACAAAGUUUAUCUUUUUGAAUAAUAUUGGUGCGUUUUUGUUGACUUGCAGGCAAUGUGAAGGAAACUGUUCUGUAUGAGUUUGAGUCCCUAUAACAAAAAUUUUAGAUAUUGGAUUCUUAUUCUAUUAGAUUUCUGUUAUUUCAAUCUUUACUACUUUAGGCACCUAAAUGCCAUGCCAUUUUUGAGCCUGUGAUGCAUACUACAGUGUCUGACAGAGAACUGCAACUAUGAACUGACUUAAGCCAGGUAAGCCAUGCACAAGUAAUAGGUUCCUUUUGGUAGGUAACCAUGGCCCUCUCCUUAAAAAAGUCUUUGAGAUAGGUGGAAAUUAGCUACCCCAUCCCUUACCUCCAGGUUAUAAUGACAUUUAUUUAAGAAUAAAUUCUGCCACACAAACAUUUAUUAAACAAACAUUUCUUAGCAAGGAGGUCAGAAAAGGUUAUACAAUUUGUUCUGUAAAAUCAGUGCAAUCCCAGCAAUUUUUCCCUUAGAGACUUCAACCAUUACUCUGCAUGAAAGGUUCACCAAGGAAGUAGCAGCAACAUUCCAGGACAGGAUCUCGUUACUUUAUUAUCAGUCAAACAACCAGAAGUCUUUCUAAUCCAUGGGUGGACCAAGAUUCCUCUAAGGCUUUAAGAGCAAACUGUUUUCAUGGACGCAACUAAUUAUGCUUAGAAGCCUAAUAAACUAGGUAUCAGAUGUUGAGCAAAUUCCAAAAUAUUUAAUGAAUAUAGUAGCCCCUAAGCAGUGAGGCUUUGUGGAAAAGUGGCCAGUUAGAACAUACAUUCUGUGCAUUAUUAGGGUAACCUGCUGCCUCCAUAGGUAAAUGUUGCAUAAAAUUGCACGUUCAUAUAUUUACAUGGAAUUUUCUGAAGUGUUUUGAUGCAAAAGUGGUUCAAAACAAGAACCAUGACAAUUUCUCCACAGUAAAUCACACAUUUACCCAGCCUACUAAUGAUUUAACACCUACACCAUGCUAAACACCCACCAGGAUCACAAAGCUAAAUAAGAUAUUGUUCUUACCUUCAAGAAGUUUACAAUCUAGUAAGAGAAACACAAGCAGAUUUGUGAUUACAGUAGAAAGUGAUGGAUGCUAGAGUAAAGGCACACCCAGGGUGCCAAUGGGAUCCCAAUAUAUCAGAUUCAAGAGUUUGUCUAAUUAGUCUUUUCAGAAGACAUUAUUCUUAAAGUAGUAUUUGAAGAUUGGUAUGAAUUAAUUUAAUGCACUAUGUGCAGAAAAUAAUUUUAGAUAACAGUAGCAGAACAGAUAUGAAAGCGCAGAGGUUGGAAACCUCACCGUCUAUUUUAAAAGCUGUUACGUAGUUCAGAAUGACUGGAAGAAUGUGGAGAGUGAGCUAAGUAUGGGGAGAUGAGCUUAAGAAGACCAGAUCAUUUAGGUUUUACGUGUUAAGGUCAGAGCUUGAACUUUUCUGAGAGAUAGGAGGUAUCAGGGAAGAAUUUUAUUCAGGAAGUAAUGUAUAUUUUCAAAGGUCACUCCAACGUCAAUGAGUUGAAACAGGAUUGAGAAGGAGGCAGAAUGGAUGAGGGGAAAUACACGAGAAGUGGUAAGAGUUUGAACUAAAGCAUAAGCAUUGAAAACAGUGAAUGAGACACAUUUAAAGAACCAAUGGAUAAAUUCAAGAACUAAUAGCACCUGAGACUGAGUGGAUACUAGUGUGAGAAAAAUCUAGAAUAUCUCAGAGCAUUGGCCUACUGCAAGGGUAGUGCCACUUACCAUGUACAAAUGACUGAUUGACAGAAUAAAUAAUGAUUAAGUACCCAGUGGCUUCAAUAUGAAGCAUUGAUUCUUUUUAUAUUAAGUACAUCCAAUAAAUCAGUUUUCCUCAGAAGUUUAUAGAACUUUAAAAUAAAAAUGGAAGGAUGAUAUGACAAGAGCUUCUUCUCUUGAUUAGAAACUAAUAUAUCUUUGUCUACCCUGCAGAUUCUCUUUCCUCUUCUCUUGCUUGGCAUGUUUUAUAUAUGCUCAUUACCUUCUAUUUCUUUUCUUUUUUUUUUUAAGCACUUACUUUCAUGUUGUUUCUUUUAUGAUGUUUGUCCUUGCUGGUCAACCUAGUAGUGACUGUAGUUUAUCAGGCUACAUGUUUUAUAUCUGCAAGCACUACAAACUAUAAUCUCAUAAAAGCACAUUGAAUAAUCUGCAGUAAACCUGGCCUAAUGUACACAAUCCUCUCCUGAAAUAAUUGGUAACAACUUAAACUGGAAGUCCAAGUAAUACGUAAAAUAAGAUGUGAUCUAUAGCUUUAUCAAAAUUAUGAAUUAUUCUAAGUGACGGUCUCUAUGCAGAGUCACUGGUUCAUUAGGACAUACCUUUAUAUACUAUAAAAUCUAAAACAGGAACAGAGAUUUUUAAUUAUACUAUAAUAGCUCCAUCAUGCAAAUAUGUAUAUCCUUUCCAUUAAAACUUAGCUUAAAAGUCCUGUAUAAUAUUCCUUGUCUUUUUUAAUAAAAUGUGAGUUUUUCCUUAACAUUAAACUUUUAUUUUCAAAACAGAAAACUCAAUUCCAUAAACAAUAUGGUCAACUGAGAGAGCAAUUAUAUAGCAUACAAGCAAGUAACUUUCAAAGAUAUAGAGAUCUACAAAAUAUACAUAACUAUAAAAUUCAUGUAACAGCAUUACAAUGUAUAAUUUAAUAUUUUAAAGUUUUCAAAAGGUCUUUUGCAAUCACAAUGACUAUUAAGCAUAGGAUUUCAAAAGUCAAUUAUUAUGUCUUGGAUGUUUGAAAUGUCACUUCUCUUAAAUGCUCUUUUAUUAAGUUUAAUACUACAUAACAGAUUUUAGAAUACCAAAAUCAAAGAAGAAUGCAGGCAGUUAGGCAUAUCCAAAAGUAGACUUACUGUGUCACGAAUUCUAACAAAAUACACCAAAAAAUAUCUCAUAAGUAGAGCUAUUUCCUACAAAUAACCACAUGUGAAUAUUUAUAUCAGGAAAAUUAAAAUUAAGAGUAUACUGUCACACUAACAUGUUAAAUCCCAAAAAAAGCUUCCCUUUUUUUUACAGUAUGACAGACUACACAUUUUCUGAUCAUAGUAACAGAAAAAUAUGACAUGCUAACAUUAAGAAUAGGUUUCUUAAGAACUAAAUAAAAAUUAUCUAUGAAAAACACUACAUGCAUAUCGAGCACCCCAACUAACAGUCAUUUUUAAGAAGAACAAUUUUUAGGAUUUAAGAUAUCUAUAGUUGAAUGAAUUUUUCAGAAAAAAGUGACAAAAAUAGUGUUAUAGACUUAUUUCUGUCAAAAUGUCUUCUAGCA
ensembl:lncRNA